rnacentral:lncRNA from 1 species
GGUAAUGUGCUUGGCUUCUUAAUAUUUCAAGGAUGGGUAAAUUCCCCACAUCUCUCUCAUUGCAUUCUUCCUGUUUGUUUAGGCCCACGAAAGUCAAGAAUAUGCACAAUGUCUGCAUGCUUUACACCAGUGCUAGAUCAUGUAAUUAAACUUUUCACUGUCUAAGAACACGAGGAGAAGUUUUAUACUUUUCUGAUUCCUUAAAUAUUUGCGAAUAUAGUGUUCUACUUUAGGGGUGUCGGUCAUAUAGUAUUUUGUCCUUUUAAAUCUGACAAGACUGAUGACUAUUGCUCUUUUUUUCAGGGUUCCUUCUUCGGCUGGAAUGGAUCUACCUUCUAAAUUUACUGAUUCCUUAAAUAUUUGUGAAUAUAAUGUUCUACUUUAGGGGUGUUGGUCAUAUAGUAUUUUGUCCUUUUAAAUCUGACAAGACUGAUGACUCCUGCUCGUUUUCCGCAGGGUUCCUUCUUUGGCUGGAAUGGAUCUACCUUCUAAAUUUCUAUUUCACAAUUGGUCAUCUUUGAGCCACUCAUGAACUGUAUGUAUGUGCUUGGAUCUGUAUUUGCCAAGUAACUUGAUACUAUAUC